GGCUGGUCCGAUGGCAGUGGGUUAUCAGAACUUAUUAACAUUAGUGUCACUAAAGUUGGUAUACCACCCCCCCCCUGCUAAAUUUGACUGGCUUUAA
ensembl:misc_RNA Y_RNA Y RNA